rnacentral:rRNA from 1 species
GAUGAACGCUAGCGGCAGGCCUAAUACAUGCAAGUCGGACGGGAUUGGGGAGCUUGCUCCCCAUGAGAGUGGCGCACAGGUGCGUAACACGUAUGUAACCUACCCUUGUCAGGGGGAUAGCCUCUCGAAAGAGAGAUUAAUAACGCAUAACAUUAUUGGAUGGCAUCAUUUAAUAAUCAAAUAUUUAUAGGACAAGGAUGGGCAUGCGGGACAUUAGCUAGUUGGUAGGGUAACGGCUUACCAAGGCUACGAUGUCUAGGGGAUCUGAGAGGAUGGCCCCCCACACUGGUACUGAGACACGGACCAGACUCCUACGGGAGGCAGCAGUAAGGAAUAUUGGUCAAUGGGCGCAAGCCUGAACCAGCCAUGCCGCGUGCAGGAAGACGGCCCUACGGGUUGUAAACUGCUUUUGCGCCGGAAUAAACCCUUUUACGAGUAAGAGGCUGAAUGUACAGCGAGAAUAAGGAUCGGCUAACUCCGUGCCAGCAGCCGCAGUAA